AUCCCUCACACACACAGCACCCCUCACACAUACACACAGCACCACUACACCCCUCACUGAUGUGUGUAUGUGUGAGGGGUGCUGUGUGUGUGAGGGAU